AUUAACGCUGGCGGCGUGCAUGAGACAUGCAAGUCGAACGGACGAGCAGGGCUUGCCUUGCUCGUUAGUGGCGGACGGCUGAGUAACGCGUGGGUGACCUGCCCCGAAGUGGGGAAUAACUGCCCGAAAGGGUGGCUAAUACCGCAUGUGGAGCCUGGUUCGUUCCAGUCUCCAAAGCCGCAAGGCGCUUCGGGAGGGGCCUGCGUCCGAUUAGCUCGUUGGUGGGGUAACGGCUCACCAAGGCGACGAUCGGUAGGUGGUCUGAGAGGACGAUCACCCAGACUGGGACUGAGACACGGCCCAGACUCCUACGGGAGGCAGCAGUCGGGAAUUUUGCUCAAUGGGCGAAAGCCUGAAGCAGCAACGCCGCGUGAGGGAUGACGGCCUUCGGGUUGUAAACCUCUUUUUUCAGGGACGAUAAUGACGGUACCUGAAGAAUAAGCCACGGCUAACUACGU
rnacentral:rRNA from 1 species